AAAAGGGCAUUAACCUAAGCACU
rnacentral:miRNA from 1 species